rnacentral:rRNA from 1 species
CCUACGGGAGACUGCAGUAGGGAAUCUUCCACAAUGGGCGAAAGCCUGAUGGAGCAACGCCGCGUGGGUGAAGAAGGUCUUCGGAUCGUAAAACCCUGUUGUUAGAGAAGAAAGUGCGUGAGAGUAACUGUUCACGUUUCGACGGUAUCUAACCAGAAAGCCACGGCUAACUACGUGCCAGCAGCCGCGGUAAUACGUAGGUGGCAAGCGUUAUCCGGAGUUAUUGGGCGUAAAGGGAACGCAGGCGGUCUUUUAAGUCUGAUGUGAAAGCCUUCGGCUUAACCGGAGUAGUGCAUUGGAAACUGGGAGACUGGAGUGCAGAAGAGGAGAGUGGAACUCCAUGUGUAGCGGUGAAAUGCGUAGAUAUAUGGAAGAACACCAGUGGCGAAAGCGGCUCUCUGGUCUGUAACUGACGCUGAGGUUCGAAAGCGUGGGUAGCAAACAGGAUUAGAUACCCUAGUAGUC